CCAUGCCCAGCCUGAGCAACUUUUAUUUUUAAGACCUUUAUUAAAUUCACUUCCUGGGAGCCAGACUGUGAUGGAUGCUGGAAAUAUAAAAAUGAAUAGAACCCUGAACUUUGAAGAUUCAAUAUCUAGGGGUGGUGUUAAAAACCUGAGUAGUUACAGCAACAUUGAGCUGUUCAGUGCUGGAAAAUACAGACCUGGAGCUGAAUAUAGACUUGGGAAUCAUCACCAUGUAACUGGUUAUUGAAACCUGUAACAUUCCAUUACUUAGAGGCCUU